GGCGACGAUCAGUAGCGGGUCUGAGAGGAUGAUCCGCCACACUGGGACUGAGACACGGCCCAGACUCCUACGGGAGGCAGCAGUGGGGAAUUUUGGACAAUGGGGGCAACCCUGAUCCAGCCAUUCCGCGUGAGUGAAGAAGGCCUUCGGGUUGUAAAGCUCUUUCAGCUGGAACGAAACGGUAGAGGCUAAUACCCUCUGCAAAUGACGGUACCGGCAGAAGAAGCACCGGCUAACUACGUGCCAGCAGCCGCGGUAAUACGUAGGGUGCGAGCGUUAAUCGGAAUUACUGGGCGUAAAGCGUGCGCAGGCGGAUUGUUAAGCAAGACGUGAAAUCCCCGGGCUUAACCUGGGAAUGGCGUUUUGAACUGGCAGUCUAGAGUGUGUCAGAGGGGGGUGGAAUUCCACGUGUAGCAGUGAAAUGCGUAGAGAUGUGGAGGAACACCAAUGGCGAAGGCAGCCCCCUGGGAUAACACUGACGCUCAUGUACGAAAGCGUGGGUAGCAAACAGGAUUAGAUACCCUGGUAGUCCACGCCCUAAACGAUGUCAACUGGUUGUUGGGGGAGUGAAAUCCCUUAGUAACGAAGCUAACGCGUGAAGUUGACCGCCUGGGGAGUACGGUCGCAAGAUUAAAACUCAAAGGAAUUGACGGGGACCCGCACAAGCGGUGGAUGAUGUGGAUUAAUUCGAUGCAACGCGAAAAACCUUACCUACCCUCGACAUGUCUAGAAUCCUGCAGAGAUGCGGGAGUGCCCGAAAGGGAAUUGGAACACAGGUGCUGCAUGGCUGUCGUCAGCUCGUGUCGUGAGAUGUUGGGUUAAGUCCCGCAACGAGCGCAACCCUUAACAUUAGUUGCUACGCAAGGGCACUCUAAUGAGACUGCCGGUGACAAACCGGAGGAAGGUGGGGAUGACGUCAAGUCCUCAUGGCCCUUAUGGGUAGGGCUUCACACGUCAUACAAUGGUCGGUACAGAGGGUUGCCAAGCCGCGAGGUGGAGCCAAUCCCAGAAAGCCGAUCGUAGUCCGGAUUGUUCUCUGCAACUCGAGAGCAUGAAGUCGGAAUCGCUAGUAAUCGCGGAUCAGCAUGUCGCGGUGAAUACGUUCCCGGGUCUUGUACACACCGCCCGUCACACCAUGGGAGUGGAAUCUGCCAGAAGUAGGUAGCCUAACCGCAAGGAGGGCGCUUACCACGGUGGGUUUCAUGACUGGGGUGAAGUCGUAACAAGGUA
rnacentral:rRNA from 1 species